CCUAGAGGUCUUAUGUACAUUCCUACAACAGAUUCCAUUAGAACUAUAUAGUUAAGAGUGCUUGGGCUAGAGUAGUACUGGGAUGGGUGACCUCUAAGAAAGUCCUAAUGUUUUACAUGC
rfam:Picea glauca, whole genome shotgun sequence.